UACGGGGGGGGCAAGCGUUGUUCGGAAUUACUGGGCGUAAAGGGCUCGUAGGUGGCCAACUAAGUCAGACGUGAAAUCCCUCGGCUUAACCGGGGAACUGCGUCUGAUACUGGAUGGCUUGAGGUUGGGAGAGGGAUGCGGAAUUCCAGGUGUAGCGGUGAAAUGCGUAGAUAUCUGGAGGAACACCGGUGGCGAAGGCGGCAUCCUGGACCAAUUCUGACGCUGAGUGAGCGAAAGCCAGGGGAGCAAACGGG
rnacentral:rRNA from 1 species